UGCUGCAGCUGGUAUAAAUGAUAAAAGACCUGCUCCAGAACCCAACUCUGCUGCUUGCAUUGCAGUGUAUUUGGUUGCCAAUGGAGCAAGCCUUGAGGUGAAGAAUAAAAAAGGGAAAACUCCGGCAGAUCUCAAUAAGAAUCCUCGUGUUGCAGAAAUAUUGAAUAUAUCGUCACAGCAAUGGAAACAAUCACAUGAGUAGUGGUCAUUUUAAAGGCACUGUAACAGAUAUUACCAUUGGUCGAAAUUAGUCACCUGAUUAUCAACCAUUAAAGAAGCAGUCAAUGGCUGAAGAAGUAUGCCACGACAACUUUGAAAAAAAAGGUGGGGACAUUACUGAGGAGAAGUGUCUGGGCCACCGCCGGAUAGCAAGGGGUGGGUAAAUCACUGAGAAACAAUGGGCUGGAAUAAUUUUUAUUAUUGUUAUCCUUAUAAUUAUUAUAAUAAUAUUGUUUAAUGAUGAUUUAAAUAAUUGUGUAGAGUGUUUACUGUGAUUAUAUUGAAUUGAAUUGGUAGGCAGCAGCAACUUGCUUAUGGGAGGUCUUUGAAGCUCUAUCCAGACUAUCAAAUUUUAUUUGACAAAAAAUGGUUGGUUAUUCACCCAUGUAGUAACAAUGUGCCUAUAUAUGGUCAUGAUGUGAUGUCAUCAUGACCAUAUUUAGGCAUGUCACAUGUUUUUGUCAAAUGAAAUAUGAUAGUCUAAAGGGCUUGAGCUCAAAAUAGGGAAGAGCAGAUGAGUUUCUAAAAUACUAAAUUUUAAGUUUUAAACACUAAUGCUCGAAAUUAUUUAUUUUUGAAGUUAUUGUAAUUAAAGUAUUCUUUUUUACAACCAAUUUUCAAAAUAUGAAGAAAUUUACAGGAUUAUGUACUAAAUAUAUUAUAUAAUAUAUUAUAAUCAAAUAUAAAAUAAAUACGAAUUGCUUUGCGUUUUUAAAGUAAGUUAUAGGCAGUGCCGUACUCAACAAACUAAAUAACACAAAAGUCAUUAAAUUUCCGACGUUCUUAAAGAUUGAAAAAUAAUGUGCCAAUACUGUUAAUCUUACUACAUAACAGGGAACGCAAUUAUUUAUCAAGGGUGGGCAUAAAAAUUGGUU